GCAGAGAAGAGGCAAACGAAAAGAGCAAACACUUGUUACUGGAGUGAGCAAAAGGAGGGCACUGGGGGACCCACCAGCAACUUGUGUCAGCAGCUUGUGCUCUCCCACGGCUCCUGCCAAGAGGGAGAUCUGAUCCAGAUAUAGUCCUGCUUGAAGCCUGAAAGAGGAGGGCAUGGCUCUGCACUUCAAUUUGAGAUCAAAGAGGGGAGCACCGCUCCUCCCUCCUGGCCUCCUGUGGAAAUGUGAG